UGUCUUUGUACGACUUAUCUUUUGGCUUUUCUGGUUGUACCAAGUUCCUCAGUAAACCGUAGGUUGUUGCUCCCAUCACACUCAACAGGGUCGCAACCUGUUUCUCCUGGCUUAUGUCGUUCGCCACGAAGAACUGCUCCAGCCGUUCAAUAUAAGCUGACCAAGACGCUUUCGGAACAAACUCGCCUAUGUUUCCAAGAAGCGCCAUUAUUUAGACUUUAUCCUCAUCGGCAAUUUUUACUGUGGUGUAUCUAUUUGAAUAAACACACGUGAGACCGCAUGGCUGAUUUCUCCGGUCACUUUUUACUGACUGAAUCUUCAAACACCAGCGCCAAGCGCCUCCCAAAAAGACCCCGCCCCUUAGCUACGGAAUCUCUACUGUGUCAAAUGUAAAACUUGCAAGCAUUCAAUACAUCACAAUAAAAAUACCUUUAGCAGUUAAUGGAUUUUGCAUGCAAAAUUUCGCCAAGCAAUGAUAACGUUAAAUCUGACCGCUCCUUUAGACUGUGAAUUGUACUCGAUUUACACAAAUUGUCACCUGUAAUGGUGUAUUAAAAAUGGUCUACUCCUUAGUGAUAGACUUAAGUGGUUGUAGUGGAUUUGAAAGUUUGCUGAAAUGAUUGGCAAUAUGUGAUAAAUGCUUUGAAGCCACUGGUGUGGUGCAGGCUAGGUAACAUUAGAAUACAAUAUAAACAUGCUAACUUUUAUAAGUGACUUUUGCAUUAUGUCUACAGCAAAUGAAUUAAUCAGAAGAUGGACCAUUUUCUAUGUUCAGCGAGUCUCACCAGAUAGAAUUUAUUCAGGUUCAAGAGUCCCACCUGACCAGGAAGAAGCCUAAUAUGAUUUCAGCAUAUCAGUACACAGCUAUCCCUUCACUGCAGACCAACUGAAAUGGGCUAAAUCCUUGAUUGCAGUCUUCACAUCUAUGAAUCAUUUGGAAAGAAUUAAAGCGAUUGUUGGAACAGUGAACUUCUCUGAAGAAGAACUGAGCACAUUUGUGUUUGUGGACAUGCAUGCAUCCAGGGAAAAUCCUGAUGUCGUCAGUCAAGUUUUGAACAGGAACCAAUCUUUGGAGAUGUUCAUUUAUUCCCAAAGGUGGACAAAAAACAUUGUGUUGGCUUUUUAAAGACAAUUUUUUGUUAUCCCUUUUACUCAUAUGCUGUGGAGAAGAUGGAGUACAGACAUUGAUAAUAAUCAGAAAAGUUUCUUGAGCAGCAAAUCCUAGAAUAAAUUCUGAAGGAUCAUGUGGAUCAUGAUCAAUGUUUGGAAAUAAGUAAAACUAUAUUUUGAAGGUAGGGACGGGUUAUGUAUCAUGUUGCCUAAUGAGAUUGAAAAGAACUGUUUUGUCCUUUGUUGGACAUAUCAUUUUUGACUGCUUAAAAUGUUAUUGUUAUAUUCUGCAUUGAAUUUAAUUAUUGAUAUUUUAUUGUAAUAAAUUGACAAUGAGAAAAACAAACAAUGACUUUACAUUCAUUUUUUCAAAUGCUAACAUUUUGUUUAGUAUUUUAGAUACCUUUUUUAACACAAUGUGUGUAGCCAAGGAUAACACAAUGUUACACAUCUUUUACACAUUUACACAUCUUUGUGUUAACCUUUCAGACACAUUUACUGUGUUAAAAUCAUUAAAACAGUGAAUGUGUAGAAAUCAACACAACAAACGUUGUCCCUAAACUCACCCAUUGAUGUGUAGGAAUUUAAUACAUUUUGAGUCAGUUUUAACACAUCCUUUGCAAGAGUGUACAGAGAAAGCCUUUAGGAGAUGGACAUGCUCUGACAUGCCAUUACAUAUUAUCAGAAGAAUUUCACGAAGAAGAAAUGCGCAUUAACAGUAGCUAACUGAUAUUUAGAAGACUAACAGGCUGGGUCUUCCCAUAAUGAUAGAUAAACUUAUAAUGCACUAAUGCAUUUUUAUGCAAUAAAGUCCACUAAUGCACAAUGUACAAACAGUGUACGGUUUCUAUGCAAGCCCUAUUCUGCUGGUACAUUCCUCAGACACCUUGAAAGGGGAUCCUCUGGACCUGCUCUAUCAGUUGAGCAAAUGAUGCUUAUUUUUCUUUUCUUUUCUUUUUUUUUUUUCUUUUUUCUUUUUUUUUUUUUUACAAUCUCUUUAAAAGACUGUUGUCUUUCACCAAUUGUUUUGGUGAAAUUUUGGUUCAUUUGUUAUCAUAACACUUUAUGUUAGCUAAAUAUGUUGCAUACAACAUAUAGGAAAAUAUAUUUGAGAGUAGCAUUGGUAUCCCCACCCCUAAACCUGUCUUUGAAACAUGGCACAUUCUCUCACAAACAGCCCUUAAAGUCUAUAUUAAAUCAUAUGGAUCCAAUUUGCUUUCCUAAUACAUGUUAUCCCAGGUGAAAAAGACAUAGUAUUAAAUGUAUUAAAAAUAUACUUGAAAUGCAAGUAGUAUGUUAAUAAUACAUUUCCCAGCAUGCUUAUUUGAAGUGCAUUAAAAAUAUAUUAGUCACGAUCACCAUCUGUUCCUGUCAC